UACGUAGGUGGCAAGCGUUAUCCGGAAUUAUUGGGCGUAAAGCGCGCGCAGGUGGUUUCUUAAGUCUGAUGUGAAAGCCCACGGCUCAACCGUGGAGGGUCAUUGGAAACUGGGAGACUUGAGUGCAGAAGAGGAAAGUGGAAUUCCAUGUGUAGCGGUGAAAUGCGUAGAGAUAUGGAGGAACACCAGUGGCGAAGGCGACUUUCUGGUCUGCAACUGACACUGAGGCGCCGAAAGCGUGGGGAGCAAACAGG
rnacentral:rRNA from 1 species